rnacentral:rRNA from 1 species
AUUAUGGCUCAGGAUGAACGCUAGCUACAGGCUUAACACAUGCAAGUCGAGGGGCAGCAUUGGGAUAGCUUGCUAUUCAGAUGGCGACCGGCGCACGGGUGAGUAACGCGUAUCCAACCUUCCUGCCAGUAGGGAACAGCCCGGCGAAAGUCGGAUUAAUGCCCUAUGUUCUUCAAUGCGGACAUCUAAGUUGAAGGAAAGAUUCAUCGCUGGCAGAUGGGGAUGCGUCCGAUUAGCUUGCCGGCGGGGUAACGGCCCACCGGGGCGACGAUCGGUAGGGGUUCUGAGAGGAAGGUCCCCCACACUGGUACUGAGACACGGACCAGACUCCUACGGGAGGCAGCAGUGAGGAAUAUUGGUCAAUGGGCGUAAGCCUGAACCAGCCAAGUAGCGUGCAGGAAUGACGGCCCUACGGGUUGUAAACUGCUUUUAUGCGGGGAUAAAGUGCGGCACGUGUGCCGCUUUGCAGGUACCGCAUGAAUAAGGACCGGCUAAUUCCGUGCCAGCCGCAGC